GUGCUCACUUUGGCAGCACAUAUACUAAAAUUGGAAUGAUACAGAGAAUAUUUGUAUGGCUGCUGUGCAUGGAUGACAUGCAAAUUUGUGAAACUUUCCAUAACUUU